CAAGUCGAGCGCUCAUAGCAAUAUGGGAGCGGCGAACAGCGUAGGAAUUCAUAGGAACGUACCCUCAGGACGGGGAUAGCUACGGGAAACUGUAGGUAAUACCCGAUGAUCUCCGCGGAGCAAAGGUGUGAUUCCGCCUGAGGAGCGGCUUAUGCGAUAUUAGCUAGUUGGUGGGGUAAUGGCCUACCAAGGCGAAGAUGUCUAGGGGGUGUGAGAGCAUGGCCCCCACGACCGGAACUGAGAUACUGUCCGGACACCUACGGGUGGCUGCAGUCGAGAAUCUUCCGCAAUGGACGAAAGUCUGACGGAGCGACGCCGCGUGCGGGAUGAAGGCCCUUGGGUUGUAAACCGCUUUCGGAGGGGAUGAAAUCCUCGAGGGUUCUCCCUCGAGGUUGACAGAGCCUCAAAAGAAGCACGGGCUAAGUACGUGCCAGCAGCCGCGGUAACACGUACUGUGCAAACGUUAUUCGGAAUCACUGGGCUUAAAGGGUGCGUAGGCGGCGAUUCAAGUCAGAUGUGAAAUGCCUGAGCUCAACUGAGGCAUUGCGUUUGAAACUGAAUUGCUAGAGUAUUUCAGGGGUGUGCGGAACUGCCAGUGGAGCGGUGAAAUGUGUUGAUAUUGGCAGGAACACCGGAGGCGAAAGCGGCACACUGGGGAAUAACUGACGCUGAGGCACGAAAGCCAGGGGAGCGAACGGGAUUAGAUACCCCGGUAGUCCUGGCUGUAAACGAUGAGCACUGGGCGGGAGGGGGUUUCCCCUUUCUGCCGUAGCGAAAGCGUUAAGUGCUCCGCCUGGGAGUAUGGUCGCAAGGCUGAACUCAAGGAAUUGACGG
rnacentral:rRNA from 1 species